GUCUUGGCAAAUGUGUCUUGGCUAAGGUGUCUUGGCUAAGGUGUCUUGGCUAAUGUGUCUUGGCUAAUGUGUCUUGGAUAAUGUGUCUUGGCUAAUGUGUCUUGGCUAAUGUGUCUUGGCUAAUGUGUCUUGGCUAAGGUGUCUUGGCUAAGGUGUCUUGGCUAAGGUGUCUUGGCUAAUGUGUCUUGGCUAAUGUGUCUUGGCUAAGGUGUCUUGGCUAAGGUGUCUUGGCUAAUGUGUCUCGGCUAAUGUGUCUUGGAUAAUGUGUCUUGGCUAAGGUGUCUUGGCUAAUGUGUCUUGGCUAAUGUGUCUUGGCUAAUGUGUCUCGGCUAAUGUGUCUUGGCUAAGGUGUCUUGGCUAAUGUGUCUUGGCUAAUGUGCCUUGGCUAAUGUGUCUUGGCUAAUGUGUCUUGGCUGAUGUGUCUUGGCUAAUGUGUCUUGGCUAAUGUGUCUUGGCUAAUGUGUCUUGGCUAAUGUGUCUUGGAUAAUGUGUCUUGGCUAAGGUGUCUUGGCUAAUGUGUCUUGGCUAAUGUGUCUUGGCUAAGGUGUCUUGGCUAAGGUGUCUUGGCUAAGGUGUCUUGGCUAAGGUGUCUUGGCUAAUGUGUCUUGGCUAAUGUGUCUUGGCUAAGGUGUCUUGGCUAAGGUGUCUUGGCUAAUGUGUCUCGGCUAAUGUGUCUUGGCUAAUGUG